GGUGAUUCCGGGGACGGAAUCCUUAUAAGGGAGGGUGAAUGUAAUAACCCGAGAUUUUCUAUAUAAAAUAAUUAAGAAAUUUUGCGUAUAAAUUUUUUAUUUAUUUAUUUAAUGACGAGAAUAAGUGUCUAGUAAUGUGAAUGAUAAAUGCGAAUAUAUUUAUUACUUGGAAAAUUAGAAAUAAUUUUGGAAUUAUUAAUUACGACAAAUUAUAUUUUUAUGGUAAUUAAU
rnacentral:lncRNA from 1 species